rnacentral:lncRNA from 1 species
UCACGCCUGGUGGAAGCGAGGGGUUACACGCUCGCUUCUUACCUGGGGGAGGGGGAGGAGUGACGGUGCCGGCCCCGGCCCGCUAUGUGUCACUGCAGGCCUUGUGUCUGCCUCUGACUGGGCGCUGUGUUCACCAGUCUGUCUGACACGGUCGGCUGUGCGUGGGUCCCGGUGUCUGUCUCCGCGUGCACCUGCAUAUCUGCUCAUCUUGUCUCCCUCUGUGCCUGUGUCUGACGCGUUCCUGUCAUUAUCCCUGUCUACAUGACUCCGCGGGGCUGUCUCUGUCUGUGUGUCUGCCUAGCUCCUGUCUCGGUCUUUUGUCUGGGUCUGCCUCUGCAUCACUAGCGUGAUCACGUGUGUCUCCGCACAUGCCCUUCUGUGUUUGCCUUCAUGUUACUGAACAGAGUCGGGGCGACACUGGCGCAGGCCCACCCUCCUGACUCCUUGCUACACUCCUCUCGAUCCUGACGUCUCGCUGGAUCAGUGAUCAUUCUGUCUGAGUCAAGAAUUUGGAGGUCUGUCUGCCUUCAAUCAAGUUCUGUCCCAUCCCUCGACAUCCCUGCUUAUCCUCAGAGCUCCCUGUGGCUCCCACUGUGGUGAUAACUGCUAGCAUUUUGUGAAUAUUUGUUACAUGCCAGGCACUGUAUUAAGUAUUUUACAAGCAUUUCUUUUACUCCUCCCCAAAACCUGACAUAGGAGGUACUCUGAUUACCCCCAUUUUACAGAUGAGGAAAUUGAGGCCCAGAGAGGCUAGGUGACUUGGCCAAAGUCAUUCUGCAAGUGAAGAAUGAAAGAGCUAGGCUUCUUUCCAGAGCCACAUUCUUACCACUCUUAUGUACUGCCUCUGUCCUACUCUCCCUCCCUUGGUUUUAUCCUCACAGGCCAUCUCCUGGGUCAACCUUCCUUUCAGCUCUACCCAUGUUACCAUCCCCAAUGUCUCACGUCCUCUAGAGGAUAAAGUAGGAGGCUGUGCAGCAAAUCUCAGAAGUCAUAGGUUCUUCAUAAUGAAGCUCAUUCAGUUAACAUUAUUCAACACAAAUCCACCAUGCACCCCAAUGUGCAAAACAUCAAGCAAAAUAGUGAGAGAC